rnacentral:lncRNA from 1 species
CCGUAUAGCAAAAUACCACAUAUCAGUACUCAGCUUUGCCCCACUGCUCUGCAACCCGAACUUCGCAGAAUUAACAACGGCAGGCAGGCCCCUUGUUUACAGCAGAUGCAAAUAACAAGCAGCGUGCAGUUUCCACUGCGUAAUAGUCUUAUCGAUGCUGUCAUAACUCAAGCCUGACGUGGUAAAUGAACAAAUCCUAGGGUUUGUUGCGUCGCAUGCGAUGCCCAGCAUUGACCUGAACGGGGUUUGAAGCGCACGGUCCUUGUACUGAACGGUGCCCUCUGGUCGGGCACUUGCUCCAGGCAGACGCCAUCCGCCCUUGUAAUCCUUGCCCCCCUCCACGCCCCAAUGCAACAGCAGACGACCAGCUUGGACAUCCGACUCGAUACUGAU